rnacentral:tRNA from 1 species
UGGGUUAAUUAUUAAUUGGUAUUAAUAUUAGAACUCCAAAUUCUAAUUAUGCAGUUCGAUUCUGCUUAACUCAA